CCCUUAGACGUUCUGGGCCGCACGCGCGCUACACUGACGAAGGCAACGAGCUUUCCUUUACCGAAAGGUACGGGUAAUCUUUUGAAACUUCGUCGUGCUGGGGAUAGAUCCUUGCAAUUAUUGAUCUUAAACGAGGAAUUCCUAGUAAGCGCAAGUCAUCAACUUGCGUCGAUUACGUCCCUGCCCUUUGUACACACCGCCCGUCGCUCCUACCGAUUGGGUGUGCUGGUGAAAUGUUCGGAUCGGCCGUUUGUCGCGGUUUCCGCGGCUCGUGGCUGAGAAGUUCAUUAAACCCUCCCACCUAGAGGAAGGAGAAGUCGUAACA
rnacentral:rRNA from 1 species